UGCCAGCAGCCGCGGUAAUACAGAGGGUGCGAACGUUGCUCGGAAUUACUGGGCGUAAAGCGCGUGUAGGCGGCCUGUUAAGUCGACUGUGAAAGCCCAUGGCUCAACCAUGGAAGUGCGGUCGAUACUGGCAGGCUGGAGUCCCGGAGAGGGUGGUGGAAUUCUCAGUGUAGAGGUGAAAUUCGUAGAUAUUGGGAGGAACACCGGUGGCGAAGGCGACCACCUGGACGGGUACUGACGCUGAGACGCGAAAGCGUGGGGAGCAAACAGGAUUAGAUA
rnacentral:rRNA from 1 species